rnacentral:SRP_RNA from 1 species
ACUGAGUGUGGUGGACCACUCCUGUAAUCCCUGCUAACCAGGAAGGCUGAGGCUAGUGGAUCGCUUGAGCUCGAGAAUUUUGAGCUGCAGUGGAGCUAAAGCCUAUCUGAUGUCUGCAAUAAGUUCAGCACCAACGUGGUGAGUCCCAGGGAGUGGAGGGCUACUGGGCUGCCUAAGGAGGGGUGCACCAGCACAAAACUCCUAUGCCAAUCAGUAGUGGGAUUGGGCCUAUGAGUGGCUGCUGUAUUUCCAGCCUGUAUGAGGUAGGAAGACCUGUUCUCA